CAAUAGCGUAUAUUAAAGUUGUUGCGGUUAAAAAGCUCGUAGUUGGAUUUCUGCUGAGGAUGACUGGGUCCGCCCCUGGUCUGGUGAUAUCUAGGCUAUCCUUGGCAUCUUCCUGAAGAACGUAGCUGCACUUGACUGUGUGGUGCGGUAUUUAGGACAUUUACUUUGAGGAAAUUAGAGUGUUUCAAGCAAGCGCACGCCUUGAAUACAUUAGCAUGGAAUAAUAAGAUAGGACCUCGGUUCUAUUUUGUUGGUUUCUAGAGCUGAGGUAAUGAUUGAUAGGGAUAGUUGGGGGGCAUUCGUAUUUAACUGUCAGAGGUGAAAUUCUUGGAUUUAUGAAAGACGAACUUCUGCGAAAGCAUUUGCCAAGGAUGUUUUCAUUAAUCAAGAACGAAAGUUGGGGGCUCGAAGACGAUUAGAUACCA
rnacentral:rRNA from 1 species